rnacentral:rRNA from 1 species
AGCAGCCGCGGUAAUUCCAGCUCCAAUAGCGUAUAUUAAAGUUGUUGCAGUUAAAAAGCUCGUAGUUGAAUUUCGGGAUCAUCAGGUCGGUCGUGCCUCCGGUAUGUACUGGUCUCGAUGGUUCCUCCUUCUUGUAGAACCGUAAUGCCAUUAAUUUGGUGUUGCGGGGAAACAGGACUGUUACUUUGAAAAAAUUAGAGUGUUUAAAGCAGGCGAUCGCUUGAAUACAUUAGCAUGGAAUAAUGAAAUAGGACGUUCGAUCCUAUUUUGUUGGUUUCUAGGAUUGACGUAAUGAUUAAUAGGGAUAGUUGGGGGCAUUAGUAUUCAAUUGUCAGAGGUGAAAUUCUUGGAUUUAUUGAAGACUAACUACUGCGAAAGCAUUUGCCAAGGAUGUUUUCAUUAAUCAAGAACGAGAGUUAGGGGAUCGAAGACGAUCAGAUACCGUCGUAGUCUUAACCAUGAACUAUGCCGACUAGGGAUCGGAUGAUGUUAAUUUUUUUAAUGUA